rnacentral:rRNA from 1 species
UACGGAGGGGGCGAGCGUUAUUCGGAAUUAUUGGGCGUAAAGGGCGCGUAGGCGGCCGGAUAAGUCAAAGGUGAAAUCCCUCGGCUCAACUGAGGAACUGCCUUUGAAACUGUUUGGCUCGAGUCCGGGAGGGGGUAGCGGAAUUCCCAGUGUAGCGGUGAAAUGCGUAGAUAUUGGGAGGAACACCAGUGGCGAAGGCGGCUACCUGGACCGGAACUGACGCUGAUGCGCGAAAGCCAGGGGAGCGAACGGG